UGAGCAGAAAGUGUUGACGGAAAGGGUUCUUCACCAAGAGGUAACCAACAAUAAUGUACGUGCAGUUUUCCCCAUAAAAAGUGUCAACGACUUACACGACUUCAACACUAUUAUUAGUGAGGACAAUCGUGACCUCUACGUUAACAGGAUGAAGGCUUUGUUAAAAGGACGCCUGGCGAAAACAUUGACAGAUGUUAUUUCCCAAAGUGUGUGCAUAGAAGUCAAUUUGGAUGGAGUCCACGGCAAGAAGCGUUUGAAAGAUUUCAAAGCUUUUUACCAAACUUUAAUGGAUGCUUGUCGUUCGCUUGGUUUUGAAGACAACGAAAAGGAGAUAAGGAAUGCCUUAAAAAUCAUUAAAAAACGUCAUUUCCAUGCAGAAUGUUUAAAAAAUAAGAAGAAUAAAACACAAAAUUAAUAAUUUAUUUUUCGGCCUUUUUUUAACUUGUGUAGCUAAUUUAAAAAAGUCAACUGAUAGCUUACUACUAAAUAACUAAUUUUAACUAACUACUAAGUAACCUACUUGUAGUUAACUUAAAUAAAUACUAAUAGCUAAUAUAUAGCCAACUACUAAGUAGCUAACUUUAAGUUAGUUGAAAAGUCAUGCAGAGUCGGAUAAUUGACUACUGCCUAGGACAUGGCAAUGUUAAAAUAGUCAGUUGGC